rnacentral:pre_miRNA from 1 species
ACUCAGAUGGAUAUAAUACAACCUGUUAAGUGUCCUAGCAUGAACCAGAUUGUAUUGUCAUUGUUCGUGUC